GUUUGAUCCUGGCUCAGAACGAACGUGUGGCGGCGUGGAUUAGGCUGCAGUCGUAACGACGAAAGAGGGGGCACCCCUCGAGUAGAGUGGCGAACGGGUGAGUACACGCGUGAGAAACCUGCCCAGAAGCGGGGGAUAACACCUCCCACGGGGUGCUAAUACCGCAUGUGAUGAGCGGUUCGCAUGGAUCGCUCCUCAAAGAUGGCCUCUGCUUGCAGCUAUCGCUCCUGGAUGGUCUCGACGUCCGAUUAGACUAGUUGGCGGGGUAAUGGCCCACCCAAGGCGACCGACUCGGUAGCUGGUCUGAGACGGAUGGUCAGCCACAACUGGGACUGAGAUACGGCCCAGACCUCCUACGGGACGGCAGCACGUCGAGAGGGCUUCCGGCAAUGGGGGAAACCCUGACCCGAGCGAACGCCCGCCGUGGGGGGAGGGCCCUUGGGGUUGUAAACCCCUUUCGACCGGGAAGAAUGAUCUCCGGGUGAACAAUCCGGAGACUUGACGGUACCGGUGGAAGAAGCUCCGGCUAACUCCGUGCCAGCAGCCGCGGUAACACGGGGGGAGCGAACGUUGUUCGGAAUCACUGGGCGUAAAGGGCGUGUAGGCGGUUCGGUAAGUGGGAUGUGAAAGCCCCCGGCUCACCCGGGGAACUGCAUCCCAAACUGCCGGACUUGAGUGCGGGAGAGGAUGGGGGAAUUCCUGGUGUAGCGGUGAAAUGCGUAGAUAUCAGGAGGAACACCGGUGGCGAAGGCGCCCAUCUGGCCCGUUACUGACGCUGAGGCGCGAAAGCUAGGGGAGCAAACGGGAUUAGAUACCCUGGUAGUCCACGCCGUAAACGUUGGGCACUAGGUGUGGGACCCUAUCGACGGGAUCCGUGCCGUAGCUAACGCAUUAAGUGCCCCGCCUGGGGAGUACGGCCGCAAGGCUAAAACUCAAAGGAAUUGA
rnacentral:rRNA from 1 species